GGGGAAUUGUUCGCAAUGGGCGCAAGCCUGACGACGCAACGCCGCGUGGGGGAUGAAGGUCUUCGGAUUGUAAACCCCUGUUGGGUGGGACGAACACUCCUGUGGUGAAUAUCCACGAGAGCUGACGGUACCACCUGAGGAAGCCCCGGCUAACUCUGUGCCAGCAGCCGCGGUAAUACCGAGGGUGCGAGCGUUGUCCGGAAUCACUGGGCGUAAAGGGUGCGUAGGUGGCUUGGUAAGCGUGUGGUGAAAGUCCGGGGCUCAACCCCGGAUCUGCCGUGCGAACUGCCGAGCUCGAGCAAUGUAGAGGCAGGUGGAAUUUCGGGUGUAGCGGUGGAAUGCGUAGAGAUCCGAAAGAACACCAGUGGCGAAGGCGGCCUGCUGGGCAUUAGCUGACACUGAGGCACGACAGCGUGGGGAGCAAA
rnacentral:rRNA from 1 species